rnacentral:lncRNA from 1 species
CCAGGACUCCGUGUGACCUGUGGUCAGCAGAUCUCGUAUCAGAUGAGCUGUUUUGUCAUGUGGGAUCUCACAGUGAUAAAGAAACAUCGUCACUGUUCUGUGAAUGUGUGAGAUGCUAACUCUGUGCUUAAGAAUCUAAAUUGCUGCUCAUAUGGCAAUGCUGCAUACUUCAGAGAAGAGAACUUUUGUACUGAUAGCAAGGACAUGGUCAAACAAAGCGCCACACUUGGUCAUUACAAGCCACAGAGAUCUGCACAUCUCGUCUGACUGCAUGCGUGGCAGCUGUGCUAGCUGGGCACUUUAUUGUGGAAUGAGACGACAGCAGGAAGAAAAAUAUUGGAACAACAGCCUCCCUUGAGGUCCUUUGCUCUCGCUGCUGCAGCAGUGAGACCACGCAGAUAGUAACAGCAAAUCUUUAGGAAGCAGCGUGAAGGAGACGGAAGCG